AGAGUUUGAUCAUGGCUCAGGACGAACGCUGGCGGCGUGCCUAACACAUGCAAGUCGAGCGAAGUGACUCGGAGAGGAGUUUUCGGAUGGAUCGAAGAGUCAUCUGAGCGGGGGGAGGUGUGAUAACGCGCGUGAGAAACCUGCCUUUCACAAAGGGAUAGCCUCGGGAAACUGGGAUUAAUACCUUAUGAAAAUUAAAUUACCGCAUGGUAGAUCAGUCAAAGCGAAUAAGCGGUGAAAGAUGGUCUCGCGUCCUAUUAGCUAGUUGGUGAGGUAACGGCUCACCAAGGCUUCGAUAGGUAGCCGGCCUGAGAGGGUGAACGGCCACACUGGAACUGAGACACGGUCCAGACUCCUACGGGAGGCAGCAGUGGGGAAUAUUGCACAAUGGAGGAAACUCUGAUGCAGCGACGCCGCGUGAAUGAUGAAGGCCUUCGGGUCGUAAAGUUCUGUCCUUGGGGAAGAUAAUGACGGUACCCAAGGAGGAAGCCCCGGCUAACUACGUGCCAGCAGCCGCGGUAAUACGUAGGGGGCGAGCGUUGUCCGGAAUUAUUGGGCGUAAAGGGUUCGCAGGCGGUCUGAUAAGUCAGAUGUGAAAGGCGUAGGCUCAACCUACGUAAGCAUUUGAAACUGUCAGACUUGAGUUAAGGAGAGGAAAGUGGAAUUCCUAGUGUAGCGGUGAAAUGCGUAGAUAUUAGGAGGAAUACCAGUGGCGAAGGCGACUUUCUGGACUUAUACUGACGCUGAGGAACGAAAGCGUGGGGAGCAAACAGGAUUAGAUACCCUGGUAGUCCACGCCGUAAACGAUGAGUGCCAGGUGUUGGGGGUCAAACCUCGGUGCCGCAGCUAACGCAUUAAGCACUCCGCCUGGGGAGUACGUACGCAAGUAUGAAACUCAAAGGAAUUGACGG
rnacentral:rRNA from 1 species